UUAAAACUUACUUUCAUGCAAAGAAUUUAGAUCUGAAAUAUGAUUUUAGAAUCUGAAAUUUGUGUUUGUGCAUGAAGAUUUUAGUUAUGAGAAAAUCAUAAAUUAGAUCAUGUAAUAGGAUUGCAUCUAAAGUUUUUGAUUUGAGCUAUAUGAGUCUAUUUCGAUUAAGUAAUUGAUCAAACCGAAUCAAGUGUUGAUUAGGGUCAAAUCAAUUAAGUUAAAUGAUCAUGCAAUUGUUGUUGAUCAAAUUGUUUGAGUCUCGUAUGUAGAAUUGAUUAAUCUAAAGACCUAAUUUGGCUCGACGGUUUGAGUCUGAUUCGCUAGAGUUAACCUGUUUAGACCUAUUGGUGUCUAAGGCAAGUUAAUGAGACGUGGUUAUUUAAUUAGUUCUGUUCGCUUAUCUGGUCAAUUUAUUGGUUUCUAAGAAAAGCAACGGGGGACCCCUACCGAUCGCGACUUAUCUGGCCAAUUUUGAAGAUUGGAUCUUAAAUUGGGUUGCUUAGCGGUUUGAUUUAGCCCAUGCCAAUUAGAUCAGUCAUAUGAUGAUUGAUUAGAUGAGAUCUAAACUUAAACUUCCUCACAAGUAUUAAGUCUAUAGGUUUUUCCACCGUUUAGAUGUACAGGCGUGCUCCCGACGUUGAUUGUUCUCGACUGGUCAUAGUGGUUCAGUUGCAUCGGGAACAUGCAACUACUCUAUUAGCAAAGAGUUGCUCCAGGGUAAGGAUGGGGUUGGACCCAAUAACUAUUAGGUGAGCGACCCAACGACGGCUUUGCAUCUUCUAGUGAACAGUGGGUCGGGCUUAACUAAGAAGUGUGGGUAAUAACUGUUAGGUGAGCCUACAUGAUUUAGAGACUAAAUCGCUGCAACAUGCUUAAAGAAGUGUUUGGACAAAGAAUUGCCUACGCAUCGGUGUGCAUGUUACCAAUAACUGUUAGGUAAGGUGCAUGUCCUCAGUGGGACCGCAGCAUCCACUAGGAAUCUUUUGUCGCGUUAGGAUUUUCGUUUUCUUUCCGAAAAGUGGAGGGAUCCGAUAAAUUAGUGGGAGUCAUUGUUUGCAUCUUAAAAUCCAUAGAAGCAAAUAUAAAUAUUAAAUACAAAAGUCUAACAUGAAUAUUUACUCUCGUAGUUUGACAAUGUUAGCCUCAAAUUCUUUAGCCCGCAUUCUUGAAAUCAAUCAUUUGACCGGUACCAAUUACAAAGACUAACUCAGAAACUUCAGGAUUGUCCUGACUUCUGAAAAACUAGAUCAUGUAUUCGAUCAGAAACCCAUAGUGCUAUCAAACCGUCCUACUGCUGAGCAAAGGAUUGCUUUUAAGAAGUGGACGGAUGAAGAGAGUCGGGUUAAGUGUUAUGGGCUGGCGUCUAUCAAACGAGUUACAAAGCCAG
rnacentral:lncRNA from 1 species